GGGGGGGGUGCAAGCGUUAUUCGGAAUCACUGGGCGUAAAGAGCGCGUAGGGCGGUCUCUUAAGUCAGAUGUGAAAGCCCGGGGCUUAACCCCGGAAGUGCAUUUGAAACGGAGGGACUUGAGUAUGGGAGAGGGAAGUGGAAUUCCUGGUGUAGCGGUGAAAUGCGUAGAUAUCAGGAGGAACACCGGUGGCGAUGGCGACUUCCUGGACCAAUACUGACGCUGAGGCGCGAAGGCGUGGGGAGCAAACAGGAUUAGAUACCCUGGUAGUCCACGCAGUAAACGUUGAACACUAGGUGUAGCGGGUAUUGACCCCUGCUGUGCCGCAGCUAACGCAUUAAGUGUUCCGCCUGGGAAGUACGGCCGCAAGGCUA
rnacentral:rRNA from 1 species